rnacentral:rRNA from 1 species
AGUCAAGUAAUUAAGUGCAUGUGGUGGAUGCCUUGGCAGUCAGAGGCGAUGAAAGACGUGAUAGCCUGCGAAAAGCUCCGGGGAGGCGGCAAAUAUCCUUUGAUCCGGAGAUGUCUGAAUGGGGGAACCCACCUACUUUAAGGUAGGUAUUGCAACAUGAAUACAUAGUGUUGCAAGGCGAACGAGGGGAAGUGAAACAUCUCAGUACCCUUAGGAAAAGAAAUCAAUUGAGAUUCCCUCAGUAGCGGCGAGCGAACGGGGAUCAGCCCAUUAAGUUAUGUGUGUUUUAGUGGAACGCUCUGGGAAGUGCGAACGUAGAGGGUGAUAUUCCCGUACACGAAAGGGCACACAUAAUGAUGACGAGUAGGGCGAGGCACGUGAAACCUUGUCUGAAUAUGGGGGGACCAUCCUCCAAGGCUAAAUACUCCUGACUGACCGAUAGUGAACCAGUACCGUGAGGGAAAGGCGAAAAGAACCCCUGUGAGGGGAGUGAAAUAGAUCCUGAAACCGCAUGCAUACAAGCAGUGGGAGCACCUUCGUGGUGUGACUGCGUACCUUUUGUAUAAUGGGUCAGCGACUUAUAUUCAGUAGCGAGGUUAACCGUAUAGGGGAGCCGUAGAGAAAUCGAGUCUUAAUAGGGCGUUUAGUUGCUGGGUAUAGACCCGAAACCAGGCGAUCUAUCCAUGAGCAGGUUGAAGGUUGGGUAACACUAACUGGAGGACCGAACCCACUGUCGUUGAAAAGCCAGGGGAUGACUUGUGGAUAGGGGUGAAAGGCUAAUCAAGCCUGGUGAUAGCUGGUUCUCCCCGAAAGCUAUUUAGGUAGCGCCUCGGACGAAUACCAUAGGGGGUAGAGCACUGUUUCGGCUAGGGGGUCAUCCCGACUUACCAAACCGAUGCAAACUCCGAAUACCUAUGAGUACUAUCCGGGAGACAGACUGCGGGUGCUAACGUCCGUAGUCAAGAGGAAAACAAUCCAGACCGCCAGCUAAGGCCCCAAGAUCAUAGUUAAGUGGGAAACGAUGUGGGAAGGCAUAGACAGCUAGGAGGUUGGCUUAGAAGCAGCCACCCUUUAAAGAAAGCGUAAUAGCUCACUAGUCGAGUCGGCCUGCGCGGAAGAUGUAACGGGGCUAAAACUAUGUGCCGAAGCUGCGGAUGUAUACUUUGUAUACGUGGUAGGGGAGCGUUCUGUAAGCCGAUGAAGGUGUGUUGAGAGGCAUGCUGGAGGUAUCAGAAGUGCGAAUGCUGACGUGAGUAACGACAAAACGGGUGAAAAACCCGUUCGCCGAAAGACCAAGGGUUCCAGUCCAACGUUAAUCGGGGCUGGGUGAGUCGACCCCUAAGGCGAGGCCGAAAGGCGUAGUCGAUGGGAAAAUGGUUAAUAUUCCAUUACUUCUGUGUAAUGCGAUGAGAGGACGGAGAAGGCUAAAUCAGCCUGGCGUUGGUUGUCCAGGUGAAAGGAUGUAGGCAUGUAUCUUAGGCAAAUCCGGGGUACUCUAUGCUGAGAUCUGAUAGCAAGCUGUACUUGUACAGCGAAGUGGUUGAUGCCAUGCUUCCAGGAAAAGUCUCUAAGCUUCAGUUACACAGGAAUCGUACCCGAAACCGACACAGGUGGUCAGGUCGAGUAGACCAAGGCGCUUGAGAGAACUCUGCUGAAGGAACUAGGCAAAAUGGUACCGUAACUUCGGGAGAAGGUACGCUGUUGUUGGUGAUGGAACUCGCUUCCUGAGCUGACGACAGCCGCAGAAACCAGGCCGCUGCAACUGUUUAUUAAAAACAUAGCACUCUGCAAACACGAAAGUGGACGUAUAGGGUGUGAUGCCUGCCCGGUGCUGGAAGGUUAAUUGAUGGGGUUAGCGUAAGCGAAGCUCUUGAUCGAAGCCCCAGUAAACGGCGGCCGUAACUAUAACGGUCCUAAGGUAGCGAAAUUCCUUGUCGGGUAAGUUCCGACCUGCACGAAUGGCAUAAUGAUGGCGGCGCUGUCUCCAGCAGAGGCUCAGUGAAAUCGAAAUCGCUGUGAAGAUGCAGUGUACCCGCGGCUAGACGGAAAGACCCCGUGAACCUUUACUGCAGCUUGACACUGAACUUUGACCUUACUUGUGUAGGAUAGGUGGGAGGCUUUGAAGCUGGAACGCUAGUUCCAGUGGAGCCGUCCUUGAAAUACCACCCUGGUAAUGUUGAGGUUCUAACUCUGUCCCGUGAUCCGGGACGAGGACCGUGUCUGGUGGGUAGUUUGACUGGGGCGGUCUCCUCCUAAAGAGUAACGGAGGAGUACGAAGGUGCGCUCAGCGUGGUCGGAAAUCACGCGUAGAGUAUAAAGGCAAAAGCGCGCUUAACUGCGAGACCCACAAGUCGAGCAGGUACGAAAGUAGGUCUUAGUGAUCCGGUGGUUCUGUAUGGAAGGGCCAUCGCUCAACGGAUAAAAGGUACUCUGGGGAUAACAGGCUGAUACCGCCCAAGAGUUCAUAUCGACGGCGGUGUUUGGCACCUCGAUGUCGGCUCAUCUCAUCCUGGGGCUGAAGCAGGUCCCAAGGGUAUGGCUGUUCGCCAUUUAAAGAGGUACGCGAGCUGGGUUUAGAACGUCGUGAGACAGUUCGGUCCCUAUCUACCGUGGCGCUGGAAAUUUGAGAGGAUCUGCUCCUAGUACGAGAGGACCAGAGUGGACGAACCUCUGGUGUACCGGUUGUGACGCCAGUCGCAUCGCCGGGUAGCUAUGUUCGGAAGGGAUAACCGCUGAAAGCAUCUAAGCGGGAAGCCUACCUCAAGAUAAGAUUUCCCUAGGACUUUAUGUCCUCUAAAGAGCCGUUCGAGACUAGGACGUUGAUAGGUUGGAUGUGGAAGCAUAGUGAUAUGUGAAGCUGACCAAUACUAAUUGCUCGUGAGGCUUGACUAUACAACACCC